UACGUAGGGGCAAGCGUUGUCCGGAAUAAUUGGGCGUAAAGGGCGCGUAGGCGGCAAGGCAAGUCAGCAGUGGAAGUCCCAUUUUCAAGGUGGGGAGGGCUGUUGAAACUGCGUUGCUUGAGUGUAGGAGAGGUUAUCGGAAUUCCCGGUGUAGCGGUGAAAUGCGUAGAGAUCGGGAGGAACACCAGUGGCGAAGGCGGGUAACUGGACUGCAACUGACGCUGAGGCGCGAAAGUGUGGGGAGCAAACCGGAUUAGAUACCCGGGUAGUCCCUGAGCGGG
rnacentral:rRNA from 1 species